GCUGGCUGAUUAUGAGACGACAUGGUGAAACGAAAUGAAAGCCAAAUGCUUUCACGCAUUACGUUUUGAUCGAAUGAUUGUUAAAGGAGUCAAGGUUCUUGAAGAAAUGCCGGAGAAUGGUUGUUUCCCUAAUAAAUGACGUUUUUGAAUUUAAGUGGUAACAAUGGCUGUUCGAAACGGGAGAACUAUAAGGAAUCUUGGGAAAGGUUCUUGAUUGUGAACUACAGAUAAUUUAUAAAGCUAUAUUACUUUGAAGCAUCCUCCGGGUUUUUUCCUUUAAAAU
rnacentral:lncRNA from 1 species